rnacentral:rRNA from 1 species
UACAGAGGUGGCAAGCGUUGUUCGGAAUUACUGGGCGUAAAGGGCGCGUAGGCGGCCAUCUAAGUCAGACGUGAAAUCCCCCGGCUUAACCUGGGAACUGCGUCUGAUACUGGAAGGCUUGAGUAUGGGAGAGGGAUGUAGAAUUCCAGGUGUAGCGGUGAAAUGCGUAGAUAUCAAGAGGAACACCAGUGGCGAAGGCGAGUCCCUGGACAACACCUGACACUGAGGCACGAAAGCUAGGGGAGCAAACAGG